GGGUUAGUUCAAUUGGUCAGGACUCUUGUAUUUUAUUAGGAGGUCAAGAGUUCGAGUCUCUCCAGCUGCA